rnacentral:misc_RNA from 1 species
UAUUUGCCUGUCAUUCCCUGUUUAUAUCUUAAUAAGCUUAUAUAGCUAAAGAUUGAUUUUUGCCCCAUGAAUCAUUCUUGCAUUAUUCCAAACAAACUGAGACUCAAGGUCGAAAUCCGCAGCUUUGAAGUUACGGGCAACCUUUUAGUUUCGUUUCGUGUUGACGUUUAACAAAACCAUUUCAGACGCCAUUUUUAUCUUAACCGUUCGAGCUGACAACUGGAUGUUAUCAACUUGAAUUACAGUUUUGUGCUAGAAUUCUUAUGCCGAUACCGUACCGUUUCGCGCAUAGAGUAUUGAAUUAUCUUGUUAUUGAACUGGGAAGCCAAAGUGAAGAUUCGCUUUCUUUACAGGUGUCUCUGCACAGAAUUCCACGAACAAAAGUACUGUGAAGUUUUAAUUUGUACUGAUUGAGAAAGAGUCCCCUUUCCCCCAGAAAAGACAAAGAUGGGCUUGGAACCUGGAUUUAUUCAAGAUUUACAACGAUUAUUACGUUUGUCGGAUAUUUUAAACUUGGAUGAUUGUGAAAUUAAACAGUGUUUUAUUCCUACGCAGACACGCCGUGACUUUGAAGCUGUAGAUAAUGAAGCAGCGUGUUCUUGUAUGUUUGCACAAAUGUGUAGUGAUUUUCAAGCUUUAAGGAAUUAUUUCGAACUUCAGAAACGGAUUUAUUGUAUCUAUGGUGUCGAAAGUACAACGUCUGGUAUUAGGGCAUUAAAAGAAAUGGAAGUCUUGAUCUUUCAACUAGCUGGAUAUUGGGAAGACCAAGGAAAGUGGCAAGAUUUUUUGGAGGCUUUCUGUUAUCUGAAAUCUCAGUUGUGUUUGGAGCUGAGAGAAUUUGUGGACGAAGUGGUUGAAAAAGUAGAAACGAAACUGCACAGAUGUUCUUCUCCAACGGAAGAGACGAGGUUGAUGCAAACUUGCUUCAACAUACGAAAAUUGCUGCCCAUCAGUAUGUGAGCAACAUUGUUUUUGUUGAGACUAUCAAACACUUUCAAAUAAAGCUUGGAACAUGUAAUGAACGAAGGCGAAUUGUCUACGCAGAGCACUAGAUGUAUACAUGAACUAAAAAAUAAAUACGAAAGUGUUUUUAAGCCAU